rnacentral:rRNA from 1 species
ACUCAAAUGAAUUGACGGGGGCCCGCACAAGCGGUGGAGGAUGUGGUUUAAUUCGACGCAACGCGAAGAACCUUACCUGGGCUCGAAAUGAUAGGUAAACCCUUGGAAACAAGGGCUGGUAGCAAUACCGACCUAUGAUAGGUGCUGCAUGGCUGUCGUCAGCUCGUGUCGUGAGAUGUUGGGUUAAGUCCCGCAACGAGCGCAACCCUUGUCGUUAGUUACCAGCGGGUCAUGCCGGGGACUCUAACGAGACCGCCGGUGGUAAACCGGAGGAAGGUGGGGAUGACGUCAAGUCCUCAUGGCCCUUACGUCCAGGGCUACACACGUCCUACAAUGGCCAGAACAGAGGGAUGCAAGACCGCGAGGUGGAGCUAAUCCCAGAAAUCUGGUCUCAGUUCGGAUUGCAGUCUGCAACUCGACUGCAUGAAGUUGGAAUCGCUAGUAAUCGCAGAUCAGCACGCUGCGGUGAAUACGUUCCCGGGCCUUGUACACACCGCCCGU